rnacentral:rRNA from 1 species
GCAACUAUACGGUGAAACUGCGAAUGGCUCAUUAAAUCAGUUAUCGUUUAUUUGAUAGUACCUUACUACAUGGAUAACCGUGGUAAUUCUAGAGCUAAUACAUGCUAAAAACCUCGACUUCGGAAGGGGUGUAUUUAUUAGAUAAAAAACCAAUGCCCUUCGGGGCUCCUUGGUGAAUCAUAAUAACUUAACGAAUCGCAUGGCCUUGCGCCGGCGAUGGUUCAUUCAAAUUUCUGCCCUAUCAACUUUCGAUGGUAGGAUAGUGGCCUACCAUGGUAUCAACGGGUAACGGGGAAUUAGGGUUCGACUCCGGAGAGGGAGCCUGAGAAACGGCUACCACAUCCAAGGAAGGCAGCAGGCGCGCAAAUUACCCAAUCCCGACACGGGGAGGUAGUGACAAUAAAUACUGAUACAGGGCUCUUUUGGGUCUUGUAAUUGGAAUGAGUACAAUUUAAAUCCCUUAACGAGGAACAAUUGGAGGGCAAGUCUGGUGCCAGCAGCCGCGGUAAUUCCAGCUCCAAUAGCGUAUAUUAAAGUUGUUGCAGUUAAAAAGCUCGUAGUUGAACCUUGGGCCUGGCUGGCCGGUCCGCCUCACCGCGUGUACUGGUCCGGCCGGGCCUUUCCUUCUGGGGAACCUCAUGCCCUUCACUGGGCGUGUUGGGGAACCAGGACUUU